GUAUGAGAGGUAGCAAUAUUUUCUCAUACUUAGCGGCGAAGGGUGCGUAACACGUAGAUCAUCUGCCUCCAAGUGUGGGACAACUUCGAGAAAUCGGAGCUAAUACCGCAUGUGGUCGAAAGAUUAAAGCCGGGGACCGUAAGGCCUGGCGCUUGGAGAUGAGUCUGCGGCCUAUCAGCUUGUUGGCGGGGUAACGGCCCACCAAGGCUAAGACGGGUAGCUGGUCUGAGAGGACGACCAGCCACACUGGAACUGAGACACGGUCCAGACACCUACGGGUGGCAGCAGUCGAGGAUUUUUCUCAAUGGGCGAAAGCCUGAAGGAGCGACGCCGCGUGGGGGAUGAAGGUCUUCGGAUUGUAAACCCCUGUCACUUGGGAACAAAUUGGAUGCCCUAACACGUCAUCCAUUGAUAGUACCAGGAGAGGUAGACGUGGCUAACUCUGUGCCAGCAGCCGCGGUAAUACAGAGACGUCGAGCGUUGUUCGGAUUCAUUGGGCGUAAAGGGUGCGUAGGCGGUGAGGUAAGUCGGAUGUGAAAUCCCAAGGCUUAACCUUGGAGGUGCAUCCGAAACUACCUUGCUUGAGGACUGGAAGGGAGACUGGAAUUCUCGGUGUAGCGGUGAAAUGCGUAGAUAUCGAGAGGAACACCGGUGGCGAAGGCGGGUCU
rnacentral:rRNA from 1 species